rnacentral:rRNA from 1 species
UACAGAGGUCUCAAGCGAUUGUUCGGAUUCAUUGGGCGUAAAGGGUGCGUAGGCGGCGCGGUAAGUCGGGUGUGAAAUCUCGGAGCUUAACUCCGAAACUGCAUUCGAUACUGCGGUGCUUGAGGACUGGAGAGGAGACUGGAAUUCAUGGUGUAGCAGUGAAAAUGCGUAGAGAUCAUGAGGAAGACCAGUGGCGAAGGCGGGUCUCUGGACAGUUCCUGACACUGAGACACGAAGGCCAGGGGAGCAAACGGG